GUCAGCAUGGCCUAGCUGGCUAAGGCGUCCGGCUGUUACUAAAGCAGUUCACCGGGAGAUCGGCAGUUCGAGCCUGCCUGUUGACG